CAGGAAGCUGAGAAGUACAAAGCUGAAGAUGAGAAACAGUGAGACAAGGUGUCUUCCAAGAACUCAUUUGAGUCUUAUGCAUUCAACAUGAAAGCAACUGUUGAAGAUGAAAAACUUCAGGGCAAGAUCAAUGAUGAGGACAAACAGAAGAUUCUUGACAAGUGCAAUGAAAUCAUCAAUUGGCUUGAUAAGAACCAGACUGCAGAGAAGGAAGAAUUUGAACACCAGCAGAAAGAGCUGGAGAAAGUCUGCAAUCCUAUCAUUACCAAACUGUACAAGAGUGCAGGGGGCAUGCCGGGAGGAAGGCCUGGAGGCUUCCCUGGUGGUGGAGCUCCUCCCUCUGGUGGUGCCUCCUCUGGACCCACCAUCGAAGAGGUUGAUUAAGCCAACCUGAGAAUAGGUCUAGCAUUGUUCCACACAAAAUAUUCGAAGGACCCAAAUUUGUAGCAAAUUCCAUGGCAGUUUUAAUGUUGAGCUGCUAUAGUAAAUAAACUGGGCAUUCUUUAUACUUGAAUAUGGAAUACGUGCACAGGGAAAGGAAAUAAACAUUGCACUUUAUAAGCA